rnacentral:misc_RNA from 1 species
AAGUCGUAACAAGGUUUCCGUAGGUGAACCUGCGGAAGGAUCAUUACAAAUCCACAGGCGUGGUGAGGACUGAGCGUGAGAGAGCAUGUCUCUCUCUCCUCAUGCUCCUCUCCUCUGCCUUUCCAAACCCGUUUUAAUGUUCAUGAGCGUGUGUGUCUCUGUGUGUGGGAGAUUGUGCGUAAAGGAGGAGGAGAAGAAGCUGUGCGGCACAUCACUGUGUCUCGCGCUUUGGACACUCUCCACUACUACUACCACUACUGCCACUUCUCACUGCACCGCGCUCUUUACACAAACCCCUAGUGUGAUCACGUUGCUUCAACUUGUUACACGGCAGUGUAUUGUUUUACAUGUUCACUCAUGCAAACGAUGCUCGUCGUGGUCAUCAACAAAACGAUGAAACAACUUAUAACAAUGGAUCUCUAGGCUCUU